GCUCGGGUCGUACAGAGGCAGUACGCCUCAUUUUGAUGGGUUCGCUCAUCGUCACCUGUGGAAACCUGGGUUCGAUCCCCAGCCCGAGCU